GGAGGAUUAGCUCAGUUGGGAGAGCAUCUGCCUUACAAGCAGGAGGUCACAGGUUCGAGCCUGUAUCCUCCA
rnacentral:tRNA from 1 species